rnacentral:misc_RNA from 1 species
GUGAAUCAUCAAAUUUUUGAACGCAAAUUGCACUCUCUUCGGAGAGUAUGCCUGUUUGAGGGUCAGCCUAAGAAAAAUCGACAUCGUUGCCGUUUCGCUGUGGCGUUCGUUGGAAAUUGGGUUAUAUUAAAUCUUUGGUUUAAGCGACUUAUAAUUUUCUUUACGAUUCCAUGAACGUUUCCAAGUUUUAUUUCUUUACACGUUGUAGGUAUCGAUCUUAUUAGGCGUGGCCGUCAUAUCGGUUCAAGUCCAUAAUGUUUCGUUACAUGAC